GAUGAACGCUAGCUACAGGCUUAACACAUGCAAGUCGAGGGGAAACGACAUCGAAAGCUUGCUUUUGAUGGGCGUCGACCGGCGCACGGGUGAGUAACGCGUAUCCAACCUGCCCACCACUUGGGGAUAACCUUGCAAAAGUAAGACUAAUACCCAAUGACGUCUCUAGAAGACAUCUGAAGGAGAUUAAAGAUGUAUCGGUGCUGGAUGGGGAUGCGUCUGACUAGCUUGUUGGCGGGGUAACGGCCCACCAAGGCGACGAUCAGUAGGGGUUCUGAGAGGAAGGUCCCCCACAUUGGAACUGAGACACGGUCCAAACUCCUACGGGAGGCAGCAGUGAGGAAUAUUGGUCAAUGGGCGAGAGCCUGAACCAGCCAAGUAGCGUGCAGGAUGACGGCCCUAUGGGUUGUAAACUGCUUUUAUAAGGGAAUAAAGUGAGUCUCGUGAGACUUUUUGCAUGUACCUUAUGAAUAAGGACCGGCUAAUUCCGUGCCAGCAGCCGCCGUAA
rnacentral:rRNA from 1 species